rnacentral:rRNA from 1 species
GACGAACGCUGGCGGCGCGCUUAACACAUGCAAGUCGAACGGAAAGGCCUGCUUUCCCUUGUGGAUUGCGGGUACUCGAGUGGCGAACGGGUGAGUAACACGUGAGUGAUCUGCCCCCAACUUGGGUAUAAGCCUGGGAAACUGGGUCUAAUUCCCGAUAGGACUGCAGGGUGGUGCCUGUGGUGGAAAACGAUUUUCUAGUGGUUGGGGAUGAGCUCGCGGCCUAUCAGCUUGUGGGUGGGGUAAUGGCCUACCAAGGCGGCGACGGGUAGCCGGCCUGGGGGGGUGGACGGCCACAUUGGGACUGAGAUACGGCCAAGACUCCUACGGGAGGCAGCAGUGGGGAAUAUUGCACAAUGGGCGGAAGCCUGAUGCAGCGACGCCGCGUGGGGGAUGACGGCCUUCGGGUUGUAAACUCCUUUCGACCGCGAGGAAGCCACCUGGUUGGAAGGGUGGUGACGGUAGUGGUAGAAGAAGCACCGGCUAACUACGUG